GGUGAACGCUGGCGGCGUGCUUAACACAUGCAAGUCGAACGGAAAGGCCUCAGCUUGCUGGGGUACUCGAGUGGCGAACGGGUGAGUAACACGUGGGUGAUCUGCCCUGCACUUUGGGAUAAGCUUGGGAAACGGGGUCUAAUACCGAAUAUGACCACUUCUUGGAUGUUGUGGUGGAAAGCUUUUGCGGUGUGGGAUGAGCCUGCGGCCUGUCAGCUUGUUGGUGGGGUAAUGGCCUACCAAGGCGGCGACGGGUAUCCGGCCUGAGAGGGUGUACGGACACAUUGGGACUGAGAUACGGCCCAGACUCCUACGGGAGGCAGCAGUGGGGAAUAUUGCACAAUGGGCGCAAGCCUGAUGCAGCGACGCCGCGUGGGGGAUGAAGGCCUUCGGGUUGUAAACUCCUUUCGCUAUCGACGAAGCCACUUGUGGUGACGGUAGGUAGAUAAGAAGCACCGGCUAACUACGUGCCAGCAGCCGCGGUAA
rnacentral:rRNA from 1 species